AACGUAGGAGGCAAGCGUUAUCCGGAGUUACUGGGCGUAAAGCGUGCGCAGGCGGUUCGUUAUGUCCGAUGUGAAAGCCCCGAGCUCAACUUGGGAAUGGCAUUGGAAACUGGCGGGCUGGAGUGUGGCAGAGGGGGGUGGAAUUCCACGGUGUAGCAGUGAAAUGCGUAGAGAUGUGGAGGAACACCGAUGGCGGAAGGCAGCCCCCUGGGCCAACACUGACGCUGAGGAGCGAAAGCCAGGGGAGCAAACGGG
rnacentral:rRNA from 1 species